rnacentral:rRNA from 1 species
UUUCCAGACUCCUACGGGAGGCAGCAGUGGGGAAUAUUGGGCAAUGGACGCAAGUCUGACCCAGCAACGCCGCGUGAAGGAAGAAGGCUUUCGGGUUGUAAACUUCUUUUAAGGGGGAAGAGCAGAAGACGGUACCCCUUGAAUAAGCCACGGCUAACUACGUGCCAGCAGCCGCGGUAAUACGUAGGUGGCAAGCUUUGUCCGGAUUUACUGGGUGUAAAGGGCGUGCAGCCGGAGAGACAAGUCAGAUGUGAAAUCCACGGGCUCAACCCGUGAACUGCAUUUGAAACUGUUUCCCUUGAGUGUCGGAGAGGUAAUCGGAAUUCCUUGUGUAGCGGUGAAAUGCGUAGAUAUCAGGAGGAACACCGGUGGCGAAGGCGGCCUGCUGGACUGCGACUGACGUUGAGGCCCGAAAGCGUGGGGAGCAAACAGGAUUAGAUACCCGCGUAA